rnacentral:tmRNA from 1 species
GGGGAUGCCACGGAUUCGACAUGAUCUAUGGACUCUCAAAUGCAGUAGGGAAAGCCCUUUAUAGCUCUAGGUUAACUACACGCUAACACAAACAAACCCGCUAACGCUAACAUGGAAGAAGCUUUCCUUGUUAACCAACUAGCUGCACAAGCUCGUCUUUUCGCUUAAGUAGCCACUAGGCACUCGUGCUCAAUGUAUUAAUAAUUUCCAGAUUAUACUAAUACGCAAUUAAAUCUGGUAUAUCAUUGGAUGCUAAUAAUAAUGAUGAAUUCCAUUAGCUUAGUUGAUUGCAGGUUGUUCUUACACCAUAACGCGCAAUCGACGAAUCGCUCAAGUAAGAACUAAACUGUAGACUUUGUUAGAAAGUAAAUUGUGGAAAUGGGUUCAAUUCCCAUCAUCUCCACCA